GAUGAACGCUGACAGAAUGCUUAACACAUGCAAGUCAACUGUGGCGGACGGGUGAGUAAAGCGUAAAGAACUUGCCUCACGGAUAGGGACAACAUUUGGAAACGAAUGCUAAUACCUGAUACUGUGAGAGAGCUUUGCGUCCCAUUAGCUAGUUGGAGAGGUAACGGCUCACCAAGGCGAGGAUGGGUAGCCGGCCUGAGAGGGUGAUCGGCCACAAGGGGCCGGAUACACGGCCCUUACUCAUACGGGAGGAAGCAGUGGGUAAUAUUGGACAAUGGACCAAAGUCUGAUCCAGCAAUUCUGUGUGAACGAUGAAGUUUUCGGAAUGUAAAGUGCUUUCAGUUGGGAAGCGGUACCAACAGAAGAAGUGACGGCUAAAUACGUGCCAGCAGCCGCGGUAAUUC
rnacentral:rRNA from 1 species